UGGAACCCGGCCAGUGGGCUCAAGUAUCACUGUUGUACUAUAUGCCUCUCAAGGCGUUCGUAUUUUUGCUCCCCUACUCUUUAGGCCUGAGCUACCAUGGAGUUUGAUCCCAGAGUUUCAAAAGGCCGAGCAGCUCACAGACACCUCUGUCUCCAGCAGGAGCCUAGAGUGAUAAUUUUGACAAGUUUGGGCUUGAGGUUUCAGAAGAGAAUGGAAUUAUUUUUCAUGUUGACAAAUUUGGUGGAGACUCAAGCACUGUAUCAGGGAAAGUUGCAUUCUGAAGGACUUUGCGUGAUAAAAGAACUUACAAGGAGGACCAGGUGUACAGGAAGAAUAUGUAAAGUGAACAAGGAGUGUGACCACUGAAGCACAGCACCACAGGGAGACGUUUAAGCCUCCAGAUGUCUGCAGGCAGGCCUGGCUGAUGUCCGACCUCCCACAAGAGGCUGAUGGAGCAGAGUGUUCUCUAACUCCUCCAAAGAAAGGGAGUUUCCCUUUCACGGUCUGCUAAGUAACAGGCCCCUUCCCAGGCACUGGCGUUCCCACAAGACCAAGGUGCCCUCAAGUGGCCCUUAUCCGGGCAUGACAGAGGCUCACACUCUUGUCUUCUGGUCACUUCUCACAAUGUUCCUUCAGCUCCUGACUGUGCACUGGCUGGUUAUUCCUCAGUUAUAAUAGUAAAACAGAGAUUAAUACUAAAAACUAAUGAUUAUUUUCCAUAUGUGAUCAUCUCUAUAUCCUAUUUCUAGUAUAACUUUUCUUACUACAACUACUUUCUUUAUUAUAUUGGAACAGCUUGUGCCUUCACUCUCUUGCCUCAGCACCUGGGUAACUUUCCGCCCACAUCUAGCUGGUCAUAUGAAAUUUGAUCUCAAACUUCAUCUCUAUCAGAUCUCAAAGUGGAGAUGACUGACUACUUGAGAUGGAUUUAAAGGUUGGAGCAGAUCAAGGUGGAUGGAGAGAAAAGAGCCCAAAGGCAGAGAAGGAUGUGAAGAGAGACCCAGAGUUAAUAACGAAAUCGUGUGCAGAGGCUUCUGGGUGCCUGACAGGGCUCACAGAAUCCAGGGAGACCUGGUAUCAAGGCAUUAUCUUGGUCCACACAGCAAGUGUGUCUCCCUCACUCAAGGACUAGGCAGCAACUGUACUUUGGCAAGGAGAAGGAUGAGAAUGGAGUGGAAUGACAUGAAAUGCCAUUCAGAGAAAUAUCCCUGGGAGAUGUGGCCGAACCUCCUUAUUGCUUGAUUAAUUGAAUCUGAAUAGUGAUAGGUAAUAAGCCCUCAAUAGCUGAAUCAUAAUUCCAUAGCCUUCCAUUAGCAAUAAAUCAGAAAAUGGUGGGCCAGGUACUUUUCUGAAACCCACAUUUGCAGAAUCCUGGACUGUCUGAACUGUUCCUUCAGCCCAAGUCUUCCUCAGUGCAGAAGCUGCACUCACAGCCUCCUCCAGCGAGCUCCCACCUCUGAUGACAUGUUCCUGGGAUUGAGGACUCCCUACCUCCCAGGGCAGAUGAAUUCCACUCUGGAAACACCUAAGUGCGAGAAAAUUCUUCCCAUCACCUGACACGUCCUGCUCACUGGCCCUUCUGGAACUCUUUAAAGGCCUCUCCAGCUGCCACAUCCCAGCCCCUUGGGUUUGAAGGGCUUCUGCCUACCAUCAGCGACUAUGUAGCCUCUGGCCAGCCAGGGGUUGUGGCAGCAGCUGCCCAGCAAGAUGCCAUAUGUCCAGUGUGAUGAGCGCCAGGCCCAAAUCCCAAGUGUCACCCCGAUGUAGCGUGCAUGACACAGCAACCAGGCCCUGGAGUCCUCCCAUGUUCCUUGCUGCAGGGUGUCCCUUCAUGUGGAGUGGCCUCAUGGAGUGGAGUGGACGUGGGUGUGAGAAGGUGGCCAUCUGCAAGGCAGGAAGAGAGCCCUCACU